CCCCCCCCCAUGUAUUAUGUAUUGUGAAAUUGUGUCUCUAUUGUCUUUCUUUAGCCCUCACCACCUGCCUUCUAGGCAGAUCGGAGGACUGAUCAGCCUCCAAUACCCUACCCUAUUUUUAUACUAUUAUAUACUUUGCUUCUUAUUAACAAUAUCUCUUUAUAGUAUCCCAUACCAUAACAUAAAUGUUCCCUCUUUCUUUCUUUUUCUUUUUUUUUUUUUGGUACUGGGGAUCGAACUCAGGUCUUUGCACUUGCGCAGCAGGCGGUGAAACCACUGAGCUAAAUCCCCGGCCCUCCCUUUUUCUUCCUUAAGCAUAUUUUUUAAUUAUAAGUGCAUCAAAACAGCCCAGUUAUAAGGAGACUUUGUUUCCACUCUUUCCCUGCUAUAAACUAUUGCAAUAAAUAUUCACAUAUAGAUACCCAUUCAUUCAUUUACAAGUACAUCUGUUUGAUGAAUUCUGACAAAAAGCAUUUGCUGGUCAAAAGUAUGUAUAGGACUCUCUAAAGUUUUGUGUGAUGGUUGUACUAAUGUUCAGCCCCCAGCAAUGCAUAAGGGUACCUCUCUCUGCCACACUGUCACCCACAAAAGCAUUUCUAAACUCUUUGAUCCUUGCCAAUUGGAUAGGGAAGUGUACCUGCACUCAUGCUUUCAAUGUGUGCCCCAGGUUAAACUGAAAGCAUCUUAGCAGACAGGUGGCAAGUGAAGUGCCUUUAGUGGGCACAUGGUAUCACUGAGUCAGAGUAUUUCAUUGUCUCCUAAAGCUUGGCCCUCAUCACCCACACCCAGGGGCCCAGUUUCACAGAUAACAUUGAACAUAGAUACCUUCAUACAGACUUAAAUAUUACUUUAUUAAUGUUAUGCCCAGAUCGCGAAGUCCCAAAGACCACCAGGAAGUUGAUUCCGAUGUAAGCACACGAGGGCUGUUUAUUCAAGCUGGAGCAGGGGCUCCCAACCAUCACCAACACAGCGGAUCAGAAUUGAGAGCCCCGAAUUUCAAAUUAGCUGGGUUUUUAUUGUGGUUACAGCAAGAGUGUGCCUGAAGUCAUUUUGCAAAACAACCAACCAAAAGGCCUUUGACGUCGGAGAGGAUGUAUGUGGGGCAGAAGAACUAACUACGAGAAUCCUGUGCUCACAACAUCUGCAGCUACAACUCGGAGACAUCAUACAGGCAUUUACUGGGUGUGAGCAAUCAGCAUGUUACAGGUCUGACUAGUUUGCAGCUCCAGUGGGCUGCCUGAGGGUUCGGAAGACAGGUUUCACAAAGAAAAAUCACUGUCACCUCAGCUUCAGACAACCACUAAAUUCUGCCUACGAAUCUUGUAGGAGGCGCUUCAUAUCCAUGGAGCAAAUGUGAGCAUAAAGAAAUGGUGUUGGGACAAACAGCCAUCUGUAAGUAAAGUUGGAAGUAUACCUCAUACUGUACCAAAACGAAUUUCUGAUAGAGAAAACAUAAAUGUUAAAAACUUUGAUCAGAAAAUAUAUAUAGCCCAGGGGUGAUGGUGCAUGCCCAUAAUCCCAAGCACUCUGGGAAACUGAGGCAUGAGAUCCCAAGUUUGAGCCCAGCCUGCACAAUUUGGUGAUUGUCACUCAUUCUACCACUAAGCUACACCCACCAUCCUCUGUGUGUGUGUGUGUGUGUGCGCGCGCGCGUGCGCGAGCGAGCGUGUGUGUGUGUGUGUGUGUGUGUGUGUGUGUGUGUGGUCUUGUUGUUGUUUUUAUUUUCUAGUACUGGUGUUGCAUCCAGGUUGAGCAGCCCACCAGGAUCAGAAACUCAGCAGCAAUAACAAAUUAAAGGGAUGGAGUUUAAGAAGGGAAGCCGAUUUAUUUGUAAGGAGGAAAAAAUAGAAGACACAAAGCUGCCAGGAUAGAGAGCAGGGGCUGCAGAUGAUAUGUGUGUGUCGUCGUGUGUGUCGGGGGGGGGGGGUCCGCCCCCGCCCCAGCCCUGGUCCCAGGCUCCUUUUGUUAGGUCUGGGGACCCUUCCUUUCGGGUGGGUGGUAACCUGAUCAGUCUCUGGGCGGUCUUUGGGUGGACUCCAGGUCCCCAGAUCCUAACCUGGGUACUUUUGCCUGUGUGCACAAUCCUUUCGGUGGGCUUUCUUUCACUUCUUGCCCUGUUGUGAUCUGCAAGUUGUUGGGAAGGGAUCCUUUUAAGGUUAGUGACUAAGUAAAGGCGUGUGUGUAUAUCUAGUGCAGUAAUAUUGUGCCUCUACAGUGUUUUUAAAUACUAAAUAAAUUUUCUUGUAAAUUAGG
rnacentral:lncRNA from 1 species